AGAGGCAGUCAUCCAGCAAAAGAAAAAAAUGUUCCUGUGUUCGGGAUUUUAAUUGCAAGGCCAGAAAACUUCAUAGAAUGGAUUAUAGAUUAACUCAGCAACAGCAGAUGAUUUCCAUUUACUCUCUUUACAGGGAAGGGAAAAGAGGUUUGCACCCAACAAGGAGGAGGGCCCAUUUCCUAGAGGCCUAGAAAUGUAGAAUUUCUCUUUUAUUUUAGAGCUGUUGAUUGGGAUAAGAAACAAUUAACCGAGUUAGUUCUCAGGCAGAAGGCCCUUUGUCAAAAGCUGGGCAGGGGAGGGUUUGCAUUUCUGGGCUUUUGGUCUAGGGGCUGGCAAGAGAAAAAAAAGCCCAGUGAACAAUAUCUUUUAUAAUCUUGCCCUCAUUUCUCAAAUUUGAAAUGUAUCUUUCUGUCUCUCUGUAUCACCUUGACACACAUUUUUCUGUUCCUUUAGACUAUACUCAUCUUGCUCCUUGCCCAUCUUGCUCCUUUUCCCUUGCCAUUCAUUUCCAACUACCUAACCCAUAAUCCCUUUGUGCCAGAUUUCCUAUCCCUUGCGCCGUAUCCCAGUUCUAGAGGAAUCCCAAAAGCCUUUUUUGCCUGCUGGGCUGCCGAGGAACUUCUGGGAUGCCUUUUCUUUGUCCUCCAUGGGAAACACAGGGGAGAUCGGAGCCCCGUGAAAGCUCCACAGAUAAUAACCUGCGUUUGUCUCCAGCACAAUGGGGAUACUGCAUCUCGUGUUUCUCCCCCAUUGUGAGCCCCACAUGUGUCGCCUAUCAAUUUUAUAUUUUACUAGCUGUGCCCGGCCACGUGUUGCUGUGGUGAAGUAUGGUGGUAUGGGAAAUAAAGUAUUGAGGAACUGGUGGUAGUUAAGGUAAAGGGUAAAGGUUUUCCCCUGACAUUAAGUCCAUUAUAAAUGGGUUAUAUAGCUGUGUGGAAGUACCUUGAGUCUACACUGCCAUAUAAUCCAGUUGAAAUCAGAUAAUCUGUAUCUUAUAGGCAGUGUGAAAGAGGCCAAAGUAAGGCCUAACUGUGCCUGUCCCCUGGACUGAGUGGGUUGCUAGGAAACCAAGUGGGCGGAGCUUAGCCCUCUAAACUGGCAGCAAUUGGAUAAAACAAUUAUUGCUCUCCCUCUAAUUAGGACUUUAUUUUUCUUUUGUUUUUGUUGUAUCAACCUAGAGGCGUGGAUGAUGGAUUGUGUUGUCAAAUUUCGAGAUUGGGGGGCCUGUAGUUUUGUUGUUUUGUGGGUUGCUGUGAUGCCAUCGCUCAUUUAUAUAUAUAGAUUAUUAUUAUUUGUCUUUAUUAUAUCUUACCCCUUAUAAAUGAAGCAUGAUGACCUUAAUAUGAACUCUGGCCAGCACGUUACACCAACUAAGCACCAUCCGGAUGCCUAAGGCUAAUGGAUUACAAAACAUGGAUUACUCUCUGCAGAAGAAACAAUGGGUUUCCUCUCUGGACCUCGGAGGACACAGAUGUCAGGCCAUCCAGGAAGGAGCACUUUUGGACAUUCUGAACCAUUCAUCAUAAGGGACUCAUUUUCCUGCAAAGGAGGACAGGACCCAACAAAAGCCACCUCUUUCUUGGACUCUGAAUUACUUAAUCCCAUCAUCAGCCAUCACCUCCUCCAUUGUUCAGAGACCUGCCAGCCCCUCUUUCAUCAUUGGACAGAGGGAGAAUUUGCAUCCAAGUCAGGCAGCGCUCUCUCAUUGGCCGAGGCGUGUCAAGCUCCCACCUCUCCAGGGAGUCCCUGCCAAUCACAGCAAGACUGGGUCCAGCCAGGGACGGUAGGAAUUUGAACUUGAAAAACUGUAUCAAAGUGCAUGCUUUGGUAUGUUAUGUAUCUAAGUCUAUUUUUGGUGAACUCUCGCAGGCUGGCAUCACUUUCAGCUGAAAUUGAAUAAAAUUCCUCGGUGGCUUCUGUUUCAACUUGGUGAAAAGAUGUGAUGAUCGGCCUGUUUCCUGCACACCAGACAUCUUCCUUCAUCUGCCUCAUGACCCGGAAGCAUAUCAUUCGACAGCCACCAUCCUCAUCAAGUCCUUGCAUCAGGAUGUGCUCAGCUCGUGAAAAACUCAGGUGCCAAUGGUAAUUGGAAGCGGCCAAUAGAUCAAAACCGAAGGACUGCAGAAAAAGUUGAAAUGGUUGAGCAGUGAAGGACUGGGAAGAGGGGACAGAAGUCAUCCAGGAGGAAAAGCUGAUAAGGAGAAGACCUAGCUAUGGCUCACGAAUGGGACCCUAAAGAAGGAGACAGAAGGCUUGAUCCUUGCAGCCCAGGAGCAAGCCAUCAGAACAAAUGCAAUUAAGGCCAAGAUUGAAAAAUCAGCUGAUGACCCAAAAUGCAGACUCUGCAAGAAAGCUGAUGAAACCAUUGAUCAUAUCCUCAGCUGCUGUAAGAAAAUCACACAGACAGACUACAAACAGAGGCACAACUAUGUGGCCCAAAUGAUUCAUUGGAACUUAUGCCUCAAGUACCACCUCCCAGCAGCAAAGAUCUGGUGGGAUCACAAACCUGCAAAAGUAUUGGAAAAUGAGCACGCAAAGAUACUGUGGGACUUCCGAAUCCAGAUGGACAAAGUUCUGGAACACAACACACCAGACAUCACAGUUGUGGAAAAGAAAAAGGUUUGGAUCAUUGAUGUUGCCAUCCCAGGUGACAGUCGGAUUGACGAAAAACAACAGGAAAAACUCAGCUGCUAUCAGGACCUCAAGAUUGAACUUCAAAGACUCUGGCAGAAACCAGUGCAGGUGAUCAGCACAUUGGGUGCCGUGCCAAAGGAUCUCAGCCAGUAUUUGGAAACAAUAGACAUUGACAAAAUUACGAUCUGCCAACUGCAAAAGGCCACCCUGCUGGGAUCUGUGCACAUCAUCCAAAAAUACAUCACACAGUCCUAGACACUUGGGAAGUGUUCGACUUGUGAUUUUGUGAUAUGAAAUCCAGCAUAUCUAUCUUGUUUGCUGUGUCAUAAUAAUAAUAAUAACAACAACAACACAACAACAACAACAACAACUUCAUUUGGAUCCCACCCUAUCUCCCCAUGGGGACUCAGGCCGGCUUCCAACAUAGUAACAG